CGAAACCCAUUCUUCACUUCUUCUAUUUUCUAUUCAUCUUCCACUUAUCUACUAUAAACGAAACGCGAAGUCCACGACGAAGAACGCGAGAGUGAGAACAAGACGAGCAUCCGCGGCGAGCUCACUAAGGACGACGACGGUCACCCGUGGGCCACCGCGGUCGGAGAGCCAGCGGUGAAGCUAACUAGGUGGCGACGAUCACCCUCGGCGGCGUCGCACUCCCACGGCAGCGACGUAACAGGUUGAACAGUAAUGAACCAAAAUUUUAACAAGUUUAUGGCAGAUUUGUGUGUAACGGAUAUGAAUAGAAUACUUGAAAUGUAUACUAGAUUUGAGGUAAUAUCGAAAUUGGUUGAUGUAGGAGGUGGAAAUGGACAAAACCUCAAAAUAAUAAUCUCCAAAUGUCCUUCAAUUAAAGGACUUAAUUUUAUCUCCCAAAGUGAUUGAGAA